rnacentral:lncRNA from 1 species
AGAGACAUGUUUUCUGUCCCUGAUCAUAUGCUCCUUCCCCAAAUCAGCCACCAAGUGCUGGUUAAACGGAAGGUGGCUAAGAUCAGCAAGGCUGAAGAAAUCACCAGCCAAGUACUUGCUCUUUGAGAGCCUCUCCUCAUAAAUGUCCAACACCUUCCCCAGCUUUGCUUCGCUCUCUUGAAUGAUCUUGGGAUCUGAAGGAAAACCCAACGCUGAGGCAAGCAGAAUGUGAACGACUAACUUGUAGACUGGAGGGUGGAAUCUUUGUGCUUCAACCUCUAGCCAUUGUUCCACAAGCCCUCUUUCCUCAAUUGUCUUUCCCAGCAACUCAGUACCCUGGGACUUGAAUUUUUCUGCGUAGUAUCUCAUGAUUGCACGCGAUUCUGCACGUCAGAUUAGAAACCAGUGAACAAGUUUGUGUAUGUCAAACAAAACUCUGUAUUCUUGCUUCCCAAGCAUUCCAAUCGAAUAAUGUUAGGAGAUAAAUAAUGUAACAAAAUGCAUGUAAUGUUAAUUACUUUGGUCCCAAAUUAAAGACCAGAAAGCAGAAAAGGCAGAGCAUACCAUACAGGGUAUAGUCCCCAUCUUGAAUGACAGGAACUUGUCCAAAGGGCUACACAUUUAAAGACAAAGCAAUCCAAAGAUCAAUAUAUUUAUAGUUUCGAAAGAGAUUAUUAUGAGUAGACCAAUCACAAUUAACAAGUGACUUAAUAAUACUAGCUAAAGCUAACCUGUAAUUUGAGGAACUCAGGGUCCUUGUGCUCCCCCUUGAAGAGAUCAAUGGGGAUGAUCUCAAAGUCGAUCUCUUUCUCCACAAGGCAAGCCAGCACACGCUGUGGGGAAGCGUCGACGGAGCCAUACACCUUCACCACCAUUGUGAAUUAGAAGAGCCCGCAGUCUGCACAUUCCAGCUUUUGGUUCUAAGUGGUGUUUGGUUGGGGCAAUGAAAUUGAAUGGUAAUGUUAAUAGGAAAGAUAAUGAAAAUGGAAUUUUGGGAUAGAAAUCCUUAUUUCUAUAUUUGUCCAUAGUUGAUGCAUAUACUUUGUAGAUUGCAGAUUACACAAAUUUGGUUUUUUAAUUCACAUCACACCCCAAAUGAAAUGCAAUUACUCAUUACUGUUUUUCUUUUUCUUUUCAGUUUUCCCAAAAUUAAGAUUACAAUUUACAAACUUUCUUUCACACAUCAACUAUCCAGAAACUGUUUCUUCAUCAUAAUUCAUGACUUUAUGAAUGACAUAAAUAGAUAAUAGAGAAAGGUCAAUGAAUGAUUGGAGAUGAUAUAGCUUAUAAAUGUCAGGUCACUCUUCGAAAUGAUGGAUUGUUCCCUAGCUUAUACAUGACAAAAUAUGGAUCUUAUAGAGGUUGAAAUUUAGAUUCCUUUUGGGAGUGAAAAUUCUGGCGGGGAAAAGAGAGAGAGAGAGAGAGAGAGAGAGAGAGAGCAACCACAAUUGUAAUUCUGGGUAGAUUAUGGUUCACGUUUUAGAAGGAAGAUGGGUAAGACGCACAAAGGUGUUCGGAUCGGAAUGCAUGUGCCCUCAUGCCAUGCAUGCACUAAAGUGAGGUUAUGAAAUAGCAUGAAAACAAUGCGUUUUGCAUUCAUCAAACCAAAUAGCAUGAAAACAAUGUGUUUUGUAUGUACUAAACCAAAUAUUUUUCGAUGCUGAUUUAGUAUCUUGUGUGGGUAACUUGGUUGGGCAGAUCCACUAAUAUGAGGCCAAAGUUGAAAUCAGUGAUAUGUAUGUGCCUCUCAACUGUCCCCAAUUUCUUUUUCUUUACACAAGCAAUAGUCUAAAUUAGGGGGAGAGAGAGAGAGCGAUUGAACUCGGGUGUAAGGGGGUGAGCACACUACCAUGAUCAACUAGCCUAACCCACAUGUACAAUCUACAAUAUCUCUAUAUAAGCAAUUAUUGGGUUAUAACUCAUAGGAAUCAAUUGUAAAUUUGCUCAAUUUGUUGGAGAAAAAAAAGGGUCAUAAAUCGGUUGCAAAGUAGUAUGAUCUUUUUGGAGUUCAAUUCUUCUGUGUCCAACUUAUCUGUGCCCUCUCUGUUUCCUUCUUCGUUUUCUACCACCUGUCCUCACACAUAAUUGAUAGAAAAGAGAGUUGACGGGCUUAUCUAUUAGUUAUGUUGAGUACAACAGCAGAAAUCGAAAAUGGAGACAGGGAGGACCAUAUAAAUUGGACACAAGAGAACUGAACUCUAUUGGUGCAAAGACGGAAACCAAUUUCUAAAGUGAUGUUAUUGCUCGAAUGAAAUUGAAUGCUAAUGUCAAUGGGAAAGGUAAUGAGAAUGGAAUGUUGGAAUGGAAAUCCUUAUUUCUAUUUCUCCACAGUUGAUGCAUACGCUAUGUAAUAGAUGUGAGUAUGAAAGCAAAGCCAACUAAGAGUUAAUAAUGAUCUGAUCAUCUAACAUUCACGAAAGUCAUACAAAAGCAGUUAAAGCUAGGAAAGCUACAAAAACAAAACCAGCUCAAAAAGUCCAAAACCCCCGAACAAAAUGUGAAUUGCUUUGCUAGCUUUGUUUUCAACUAAAGUUCAUCUUUAGAAACUCCAAAAAGCACCCCUCCAAACCAAGAAAGACUUUCAUGAAAUGGGGAUAAUACUAUUUUGUUAUUCCUGUCUAAUAACACUAUGUCACGUGAAAACGCGUCAUAACACUUUCACACGGCAUAGCAUUAUUGGUCGGGGAGCAAAACAGUGAUAUGCCCAUUGCAACUAAGUUUUUCUCCUCUAAACCAUUCAUGAUGCGAACAAAUUUCACAUCCCAAAAUGGGUUUGCCCACUUCUCCUUUCUCAUUUGCUCUGAUCUACUUUUCUUCUUUUCUUCUUUUCCCUUUCCCUUUUCUAAUUCACAUCACGCUCCAAAUGAAAUGCAAUUACUCAAAUUUCUAUUACCAACGAAACUCCAAGCCCUACAGAAAAAAUGUGACAUUUAGGGCCCAUUUGAUAAUCAUUUCAAUUUUAGUUUUUAAUUUUCAUUUUUUGUGCUAGAGUACAGAGGAAAAAGAGGGAGAACGGAAUUGAGAAUGAGAGUGGAAAUAGGAUUGAGAGGGAAGAUGAGAGGGGAGGAUGUGAGGGAGAAGUAACAAAAGUGAAAACAAAAACUAAAAUUUGAAAUCUAUUUGAAAUUGUUCUCCCGUUCAAGUUUUUGUUUUCACUUUUGUUACUCCUCCCCUCCCAUCCAGAGGCGGAUGCACGUUGGCACAAGAGGGGUCCCCCUUGGAAGGCUGGAAAUUUGGGAAGGGACUCCAUGAAAGCCCCCUUGGACAGCUGCUGGAAGCCCCCUUGUACGCACACCAAGUGCUCGACGGAAGUCCCACAAGACGAGCUGGAGUUGCUGUGCUGAGCCUGCGCCUUGCGCGCAGCGCGCGCGGAUUCUAAUUUUUGUUAAAACCAGCCUUGCCAAACGACGUCGUUUGGUCAAGGCUCAGUCAAAUUUUUUUUUAAUUGACCUGGCCUCAAAACGACGUCGUUUUGGGCCUGUUUUAAAAAUUUAAAAAAAAAAAAAAACUGCACAAAACAGAACAGCAACACAUGCUUCGACAGAACAGAACCAAAGCCAUUUCCACAGCCCCUCUUCUCCCACCAUCUGAAACCCUAACCUCCCCAACCUCCCAAUCUUCGAAACUUUUACACUAAGCCCCCUUGGCCACAUAAUCCUGGAUCCGCCACUGCUCCCAUCCUUCCUUCUUAUCCUCUUCCCAAUCUCAUCCUCACUCCCAUUCUCACUCUCAUUUUCCUCUAUACUCUAGCACAAAAAAUGAAAACUAAAAACUAAAAUUGAAAUGGUUAUCAAACAGGCCCUUAGAAAAUAGACUUCUAUAGUGGAAUGGAAUUGAUCUUUCCCAACAAAUCAAUCGUAUUUCAGAAUAAAAACCCAUUCUUACACAUUAAUAAAACAUAAUCCAAGCAAAACCUCAACGUCCAGAACCAUUCAUUCAAGCAUCGGUUUAAUAUCAAAACUUGCAUCACAGAAUCAAAUGUAGGAAGGAAAAAAAAUUGAAGAAGCAGACCAAGAAAUAGCUCAAGUACCUCGUUCUUUCCUUCAAAGGUGAAGGCUUAACCCAAGACUUGGCAGAUGGGUCUGGCCGUCAGCGAGAGUGUGAAGAUGGAGUGAGAAGAUAGAUAAAAGAGAUAAAGGAGAGCGAGAAAGACAAAGCUUUUAACAUCGAACUUCGGUUUUUGGGUGAAGUUAAAUCAGAACAAAAGCUAGGACAAGCUAGCCCACAGGUUGCUUCUAGCUAAGCCACCAACUUUACUAAAAUCCAGCCCAAACCCAAAAAUGGACUGGCUUUAAAACCCCUCCCAAAUCCAGCUUGAGCAUUCAUAAUUCAAAAAUGAGGAACUUACUCAACCAAGCAGUUAACCAUAACAAGUUGUCAAGACAAAGCAAAAAAGGAAAGGUAAAGAAGUCUAUUGAUGCAGCAAUAAUACUUUAGUAAAUUUAGGUUUUACCCAUAAAAAAACUUUCACUUUUGGAAAAAGCCAAAGCUUUUUGAAAAAAGACAGAAUAACCUCUCAACUUUCAAACCAAAGACAUGCAAAUGUAAAGGAUUUCUUAAGAAAUCAAAAAAUAAAUAAGGGCAAUUUUGUCCAUUUUUGCUUGUUUUAAAAAUUUUCUCUCUCCUUUGGGCUUUUCCAAAGUCUCCCUAAUACUUUACCAUGUGCCAAGAGAGAAAGCAAAUGAUGAAGGACAUAGCACAUCAUUAUUCUUACAAGUAGUUUUGAUUAUUUAUUUUUGCCCAAGCCCAAGCCCAAGCCCAAGGUACAGAAAUUCAUACAUACUAACGUUCACAUGACAUGACUAAGCGAAAAACAUUGUAUGCACCGGCUGUAUGCAAAAAUACAUCUGCCCUAAAAUGGGGUACCAAACUCGAGGACCUUCUUCCAAGAUGGUCUGUUGCUAAUAUCAUUCCACCAAGCAGAGACAUGCUUUCUGUCCUUUAUCAGAUACUCCUUCCCCAAAAGAGUCACCAUAUACUGAGUAAAUGGAAGGUGGCUAAGAUCAGCAAGGCUGAAGAAAUCACCAGCUAAGUACUUGCUCUUUGACAGCCUCUCCUCAUAAAUGUCCAACACCUUCCCUAGCUUUUCUUCACUCUCUUGAAUGACCUUGGGAUCUGAAGGAAAACCCAAUGCUGAGGCAAACAAAAUGUGAAGGACUAAGUUGUUGAGUGGUGGGUGGAAGUUGUGUGCUUCAACCUCUAGCCAUUGCUCAACUAGCCCUCUUUCCUCAAUUGUCUUCCCUAGCAAAGCAGUCCCUUGAGACUUGUAUUUUUCGGCAUAGUACCUUAUGAUUGCGCGUGAUUCUGCGGAUUAAAGACAGUUUUAUCAAAGAACUUGUUAGAUCAUUAUGUUGAUGAUGCUGAUAAGAAACCAGUGAACACUAUUGUCAAAGAAAAAAAUUUCAAAACUUUCUUACUUCCCAAACAGUACAAUCCCAAUUUGAUGCUCUACAGAGAUUCAAAUGAUGAAUUGAAGCAAACCCACAAAAUGGUAUGCUAAAAGAUGAAGAAAAAUGAAAUGUAACGCUAACUUUGAUCCCAAAAUUAAAGAUUUAGCAUACCAUAUAAAGUAUAAUCCCCAUCUUGAAUGAGAGGAACUGUUCCAAAGGGCUACAUUUAAAGACAAAAGCAAUACAAAUUAAGAUCAACCGUCAUAUAUACAGAUGAUAAAUAUGAUUUCCAAAGAGAUGAUGAGCAGAAACAAUCACAAAAGAUUGAAUUAAUAGCAAAAGGUGACCUGCAAUUUGAGAAAUUCAGGGUGUUUGUGCUCUCCCUUGAAGAGAUCAAUGGGAAUGGUCUCAAAGUCGACCUCUUUCUCAACAAGACACACCAGCACACGCUUCGGGGAAGCAUAGGCAGCGCCAUACACCUUUACCACCAUUCUUACUGUUUCAGCGAGAAACCAAGUAUUUAGAUCUCGGUCUGCAGAGUACCCUAGAUUUUGGUUUCUUAGUUCUUAUAGUAGUUAAGGUGUGAUAUGCUCAUGCUUUAAGGUGUGAUAUGCUCAUGCCUAGUGGUCCAAUAAUUGCCCUCUGCACUCCAAAACAGAUAAACUCAUAAGAUUUUUUGCGCACUCAGAUUUUUUGUUCUUUUCUUUUUUGAAGGCUGUGAGUAGCUAGUGAGUAGUAGGUAGGCGGUCACAUGAAGAUAAUUCUUUAACAGGUAAAAGACAAUUAUGAGUGGAUACUGCUUGUCCCCUCCGAAAUGAGAUAAUUCAUUAAAAACACAAAACAAAAACAAAAAUUAUACACACAUCACAUUAUACACGCGUCACAUUAUUGACAAGAAUAUAUAGACUCU